GCACGCUCUAAUCUCUCCUCCACUGAUUGGGAGACGCUGUUUAUCACCUGAAUGAACAUGAAUCAGCCCUGUCUGUUUUAUGCUGAAGCAUCUAAAAUCUUCAGUUCCUCCAUAAUGACCAGAGAGUCAGCCUGAAGCUCUCCCAAUGCCUCCUCCAGGGAACAGCUCUCCUGGGCCCAUCUACGCCAGGCUGUGGUGCAUGAUUCCUCAUUAACAGAUGUGAAGAGCUCAGAGAAGAAAAAGGCUGGAAUAAAGAUGGUUGGAUCCAAGCGCUUUGUGUGCAGCCAACACAGAGAAAGCCAUGUGCUGAGACACAGCUACCCAGAAAGGAGCCCCAAUCCCAUAAAGAGCCAAAAAUAACAACAAAACAAUAGCAAGAAUCUUGGCUUUCAACACAGGACACACUUCCUGCUCAGAACACUUGAAAAAUCCAUCUAGAAACAGCAUUUGGCAUUCGUGGGGUCAGCUGAAGCCACGUUCAAUGCUGCAGGCCUGAGGUGGAAAGGCUGAAGCCCAGAUUCCAGCCGCUGCCCAGGCUCGGCUCCUGC
rnacentral:lncRNA from 1 species